CACAGUGCAAGCUUAGCAAGUGUCACUUCUGCUCUUACAAAGAUGGAGGCACCUACUUAGGGCAAAUGGCUGAACAGAGGCCCUCUCGUUCCAUCUCAGCCUAAACUCCUUCCUGCAGCCACAGCAGACAUUGCCGCUCAGUCGCCACCUCUCAUCUUUGAGAAUAAGGGAGGAAAUCAGGGUUGCAGGUGGAGGAAGAGAAGAGGGGGAGCAGUGAAUAUUGACCAAAGUCUUGCUGAGGGCAGGGACCAGUCCUUUACCAUGCAACCUGAUUACCUAGUACAAUACUAGGACUUGUAACCAAUACUCAAUAAAGGUAUCCA